ACUCCUACGGGAGGCAGCAGUGGGAAUAUUGCACAAUGGGGAAGCCAUCGAUGCAGCCAUGCCGCGUGUGUGAAGAAGGCCUUCGGGUUGUAAAGCACUUUCAGCGAGGAGGAAAGGGUGUGUGCUAAUACCAUACAUCUGUGACGUUACUCGCAGAAGAAGCACCGGCUAACUCCGUGCCAGCAGCCGCGGUAAUACGGAGGGUGCGAGCGUUAAUCGGAAUUACUGGGCGUAAAGCGUGCGCAGGCGGUUUGUUAAGCGAGAUGUGAAAG
rnacentral:rRNA from 1 species